GGAAUUUUGGACAAUGGGCGAAAGCCUGAUCCAGCCAUGCCGCGUGAGUGAAGAAGGCCUUCGGGUUGUAAAGCUCUUUCAGCCGGAAAGAAAACGCACGGAUUAAUACUCUGUGUGGAUGACGGUACCGGAAGAAGAAGCACCGGCUAACUACGUGCCAGCAGCCGCGGUAAUACGUAGGGUGCGAGCGUUAAUCGGAAUUACUGGGCGUAAAGCGUGCGCAGGCGGUUUUGUAAGACGGAUGUGAAAUCCCCGGGCUUAACCAGGGAACUGCAUUUGUGACUGCAAGGCUAGAGUACGGCAGAGGGGGGUAGAAUUCCACGUGUAGCAGUGAAAUGCGUAGAUAUGUGGAGGAAUACCGAUGGCGAAGGCAGCCCCCUGGGUCGAUACUGACGCUCAUGCACGAAAGCGUGGGGAGCAAA
rnacentral:rRNA from 1 species